rnacentral:misc_RNA from 1 species
UGGUUGCUGGGCUGCGUUCAUUGU